UGAGUAACGCGUGGGUAACCUGCCUCAGUACAGGGGGAUAACAGUUAGAAAUGACUGCUAACACCGCAUAAUAUAGCGAAACCGCAUGAUUUUGCUAUCAAAUAGUUUAUAGGUAUGAGAUGGGCCCGCGUCUGAUUAGGCUAGUUGGUGGGGUAAAAGCCUACCAAGGCGACGAUCAGUAGCCGGCUUGAGAGAGUGACCGGCCACAUUGGGACUGAGACACGGCCCAAACUCCUACGGGAGGCAGCAGUGGGGAAUAUUGGACAAUGGGGGAAACCCUGAUCCAGCGAACCGCCGCGUGAGUGAAGAAGUAUUUCGGUAUGUAAAGCUCUAUCAGCAGGGAAGAUAAUGACAGUACCUGACUAAGAAGCCCCGGCUAACUACGUGCCAGCAGCCGC
rnacentral:rRNA from 1 species